rnacentral:rRNA from 1 species
AACGAACGCUGGCGGCAGGCUUAACACAUGCAAGUCGAACGUGAAGCUGGAGCUUGCUCCAGUGGAAAGUGGCAGACGGGUGAGUAACGCGUGGGAAUUUACCCAGUGGUUCGGAAUAACUUCAGGAAACCGGAGCUAAUACCGAAUACGCCCUUCGGGGGAAAGAUUUAUCGCCAUUGGAUAAGCCCGCGUCGGAUUAGCUUGUUGGUGAGGUAAAAGCUCACCAAGGCGACGAUCCGUAGCGUGGUCGUGAGAGGAGUGAUCAGCCACACGUGGGACGUGAGACACGGCCCAGACUCCUACGGGAGGCAGCAGUGGGGAAUAUUGCGCAAGUGGAGGAAACUCUGACGCAGCCAGUGCCGCGUGAGUGAAGAAGGCUCUUAGGGUUGUAAAACUCUUUCGCUAGGGAAGAUAAUGACGGUACCUAGUAAAGAAGCCCCGCCAAC